rnacentral:rRNA from 1 species
GAGUUUGAUCCUGGCUCAGGACGAACGCUGGCGGCGUGCCUAACACAUGCAAGUCGAGCGAAGAAGCCCCUUCGGGGGUGGAUUAGCGGCGGACGGGUGAGUAACACGUGGGUAACCUACCUCAAAGAGGGGGAUAGCCUCCCGAAAGGGAGAUUAAUACCGCAUAAAAGGUGAAUACCGCAUGGUAAAUACCUUAAAGGAGAAAUCCGCUUUGAGAUGGGCCCGCGGCGCAUUAGCUAGUUGGAGGGAUAAAAGCCCCCCAAGGCGACGAUGCGUAGCCGACCUGAGAGGGUGAACGGCCACAUUGGAACUGAGAUACGGUCCAGACUCCUACGGGAGGCAGCAGUGGGGAAUAUUGCACAAUGGGCGAAAGCCUGAUGCAGCAACGCCGCGUGAGUGAAGAAGGUUUUCGGAUCGUAAAGCUCUGUCAUCCGGGACGAUAAUGACGGUACCGGAAGAGGAAGCCACGGCUAACUACGUGCCAGCAGCCGCGGUAAU